rnacentral:rRNA from 1 species
UCGGGAAUUUUGGGCAAUGGGCGAAAGCCUGACCCAGCAACGCCGCGUGAAGGAUGAAGUAUUUCGGUAUGUAAACUUCGAAAGAAUAGGAAGAAUAAAUGACGGUACUAUUUAUAAGGUCCGGCUAACUACGUGCCAGCAGCCGCGGUAAUACGUAGGGACCAAGCGUUGUUCGGAUUUACUGGGCGUAAAGGGCGCGUAGGCGGCAAUUCAAGUCAUCUGUGAAAUCUCCGGGCUUAACUCGGAACGGUCAGAUGAUACUGCUUUGCUAGAGUGCAGAAGGGGCAAUCGGAAUUCUUGGUGUAGCGGUGAAAUGCGUAGAUAUCAAGAGGAACACCUGAGGCGAAGACGGGUUGCUGGGCUGACACUGACGCUGAGGCGCGAAAGCCAGGGGAGCAAACGGGAUUAGAUACCCCUAGUAGUCCCUGAGCGGGCUGGCAAGGCGCAU